GGACAUGGCUUAGUGUCAGUUUCUGAUUUGCAUUCAGAAGGUCUCAGGUUCAAGCCCUGACAGCUCCU
rnacentral:tRNA from 1 species